UCAUUGUCGAUACCUCAACCGAGCGAGACCCGCGAACAUGUUUCACCACUCGGGGAAGGCGACGCUGCCAUCCUCGAUCCGCCCGGGCGCUGCCACCUCGCGUGGCACCGUCUCGGCACCACAACAACAAAACCCCGGCGCGGAAAGCGCCAAGGAAGUCACAACUGUACAGCGCGCCCGAUGCACCCGGAGACGGUGUCCGUCGGGGCGCGUCGCAAAACACGAGUCCAAAAUGACUCUCGGCAACGGAUAUCUCGGCUCUUGCAUCGAUGAAGAACGUAGCGAAAUGCGAUACUUGGUGUGAAUUGCAGAAUCCCGUGAACCAUCGAGUCUUUGAACGCAAGUUGCGCCCGAAGCCAUUAGGCCGAGGGCACGCCUGCCUGGGUGUCACUAAACGCUGCCCCAACCCAAGCUACUCCUGCUAGGGACCGGGGCGAAUGGUGGCUUCCCGUGAGCCUCGGCUCGCGGCUGGCUGAAAAAUCGUUCGUGGUGGUGUGCAGCGCCAUGGUAGAUGGUGGUUGAGUUUAUCCUCGGGGCCAGCCAUGUGUGCCCGCACUGCCAGCCAUCAAGUGACCCUCUAGCGACAUCGAUCGCCCAUGUUGCGACCUCAGGUCAGGCGG
rnacentral:rRNA from 1 species